AUCAUGGCUCAGAUUGAACGCUGGCGGCAGGCUUAACACAUGCAAGUCGAGCGGGGGAAGGUAGCUUGCUACUGGACCUAGCGGCGGACGGGUGAGUAAUGCUUAGGAAUCUGCCUAUUAGUGGGGGGCAACAUCUCGAAAGGGAUGCUAAUACCGCAUACGUCCUACGGGAGAAAGCAGGGGAUCUUCGGACCUUGCGCUAAUAGAUGAGCCUAAGUCGGAUUAGCUAGUUGGUGGGGUAAAGGCCUACCAAGG
rnacentral:rRNA from 1 species